CCGAGUUUGCAACUCCCAAACCCCUGUGAACAUACCACUUGUUGCCUCGGCGGAUCAGCCCGCUCCCGGUAAAACGGGACGGCCCGCCAGAGGACCCCUAAACUCUGUUUCUAUAUGUAACUUCUGAGUAAAACCAUAAACAAAUCA
rnacentral:misc_RNA from 1 species